rnacentral:sRNA from 1 species
AAAAGCACCCCGAUAUAUCAGGUUGUUGGGUCCGGUUCGCUUUGGUCGGUGACACCGGAUGGGCAGCCCACUUAGGUGGGCUUUUU